CUUACAUGUUUCCACAUAUCCCAUUAUUUUGUGCAAAUCAGAUGGAGCCUUGGGAUGUGGGACGUGGAAGGGAAGGUGGAGUCCUUCUCUGAGAAGGAACUCCAUGCCAAAAUAAAUGUGGGACAUCCCUUGUUUUUGGGCGAUGAAAAUGGAGAGUCCAUUUCACAUUGGGCUCUUAAUUCCUUGCAUAUUCUCUAUGUGUUUCUUAAAUCCUUGUGGCAUGAGAUGUCUCUUGAGAUUAUGGGGCAC
rnacentral:lncRNA from 1 species